rnacentral:rRNA from 1 species
UACGUAGGGUCCGAGCGUUGUCCGGAAUUAUUGGGCGUAAAGGGCUCGUAGGCGGUUUGUCGCGUCGGGAGUGAAAUCACCGGGCUUAACUCGGUGCUUGCUUUCGAUACGGGCAGACUAGAGGUAUGCAGGGGAGAAUGGAAUUCCUGGUGUAGCGGUGAAAUGCGCAGAUAUCAGGAGGAACACCGGUGGCGAAGGCGGUUCUCUGGGCAUUACCUGACGCUGAGGAGCGAAAGUGUGGGGAGCGAACAGG